ACUUUUAAAGGAUCAUAGUAACCCGUUAGUCUUAGGAACUAAAAUUCUUGGUGCAACUCCAGGUAAGAGUA
rnacentral:tRNA from 1 species